AAAAGUUUUAUUCUUGCUUUUUUAUUUAUUAUUUAUUUAAUUUACAUGAAUUUUUUUUUCAGUAAUUGAUUUUAUUAUUUAUUAUAAAUAAUUAUUUAUUGAUCUAAUUUUUUUAGAAAAAUAUUGUGCCAGCAUUCGCGGUUAUACAUUUUAUGAAAUUAAAUAUUUUUGGUUUAUAUAUUAUUACUAUUAUUUGAUUAUUUAUUUUUAUAUUAGGGUGAAAUUUAUAUUUUUUUUUUUUUUCUUUUUUUUUUAUUUUAAAAUUUUUUAAAAAACUAGGAUUAGAUACCCUAUUAUUGAUUUCUUAUAUUUUCUUGAUUAAUAUUAGUUAUGUUCUUUAAAAAUCAAAGAAUUUGGCGGUUAAUAAAAUCUUUUUAGAGGAACAUGUAUUUUAAUUGAUAAUCCACGAUAUUUUUUACCAAAUUUUUUAUUUGUAUAUCUCUAUUGAUAAAAUAUUUUUAUAAAGAAAAAAUUUUCUUUUUCUAUUUUAGAAUAAUUUUAGGUCAAGGUGCAGUUUUAUUUUGGUUUUUAUGUGUUACAUUAAUUUAAAAAAAAAAUUAAUCUUCUUUUUGAAUUAUUAUUAGGAUUUAAUAGUAAAUUUAAUUAAUUAAUUAUUUUGAAUAAAGUUCUAAUUAAUGUACAUAUCGCCCGUCACUCCUUUAUAUAGGAUAAGUCGUAACAAAGUAGUUUUACUGGAAAGUGAGUCUAGAUUAUUU
rnacentral:ncRNA from 1 species